UUGCUUUGAUGCUCUUCUCUAUGUGCAUAACAAAUUUCGUGCUUACAAUUUUCAUAGCGGCGUGGAUUUUUGUAUAAAACAAUUCUACCAAAUAAUGUGUGAAUGCUAUACGUGAACAUAAAUUAAACAAAAAUACUUUGUGAUAAAAAAAAAUUGGAAGUUAUCUUUCAAAAUGUCUGCUGGUUGUUCUCAUUCACGCCAAAGACAAUUUUUACGCUACGGCGGCAGCAUACAAGAAUUGCGUGAGCAAUUACAUCAGGAAAUCGAAAACAAAGUAAAACGUUGUUCAAACACCACCUACGAAUGUUCAAUACCACGUGUCGAUGGCUAUGAAUAUUGUAUGCGCCACAUUCUACAGGAUCCCUGUGGAAACUUUCGUCAAUGCACUUUUAUUUAUGCCAACGGACGUAAAUGUGCCAAUGCACUACAAAAGCAUGACAUAAAAAAAGAUCCUGCACUGACAACGCUCUGUUUUGAACAUAAUCGUCAAGCGCAGUUACAAAAAACGCACGCAACAGUUGGAAAAUUGAAGCGCACCGAUACCAAUGAAGUAUUGUUAAACAACUUAGCACAUCACAUCAAUGUUGAAGAUGUGCAGCCAGAAGAGCCAAUUGCAGAGCAAGAUGAAGAAAUUGAUGUGGUGUCACCGCAUGUGGCACCAUUUGUUGCGUACGAUCAGGUAAAUAGCCUUAAUAAUGCCUUAUCAAGCAUGCAAAAAAGACGACGCAUACUGGAUUAUGCAUCUGAUAGCAACAGCGAGGAUAACGAACAGCCCAGCUUAAACAACACUGCGCGUGGUUAUGAAUUUAACGAGUCCGACGAUGAUAGUGCAGACUCCGCACCUGAAGAUUUAUUAAAACAUGCUGGCAUUUACACACGUGAAGAAGCGGUGCGUAUUGCUGAAGCGAAACUCACAAAGCUGCAAGGUUUAUAUAUUGAUCAAAUCAAUAGUUUGCAUCACACACUCAAGGAACGCCGGCGUCGAUAUCUACAAGCUUUACGCAAGGAACGUGAAAUGUUAUGCAGCAUACAUGAUCAAUUGAAGGACUCGCCGCGCGAACGUAAACUCUACGAUCAACUGAAGGCACUUAACACAUAUCAUCGGCGUUAUGGCGUUGAAGCAGUGCUGUAUAAGAAAUUCAAAGAAAAGCGUUCGCGUGCUUCAGAUGGCUAUGCACAUAAAGGUCCGGGUUUUACUAAAUGUGCCUUCUCUGAGGGUGGUGUUAAGUGCGGUGAACGCGCAAUGCCAUGCUGUAAAUACUGCCGCAAACAUAUUAUGGAAGACAAAAAACAAAUACUUUUCCGCGCCUGCGAGGUGGAGAAGAGCGGUGUUGUGUGCCAGGAACCAAUACCGUGCAUCUUUGACGAUGCAUCGACUUGUAUCUUGCAUUUGUCUAUGCCCGCCCGACGUCAAUUUAUACAAAAGGAUUACCCUAAAUAUGCUCCCGUAUCGUGAAGGAGCGCAAUACAGGGAAAGGGUAAUUUAAGACUGUGACGUUGUGAAAGCAAAAUAAACUAAAGCUUAAUUAUAAUAUAUACACAAUUAAAUGAAAUGACCACUUAAAAUGUUAAUUAGCAUUGCUUUUACUGUGGCCAAUAUGUAUGUAUGUGUAAUGUGCGAAAAGCGUUUCAAAUUUAGGUACUAAUUGUAACCAACAAAAGAAUACGAAAAAAACUUAAACAAUAACAAAAGAUUGCACAACCAAUUAAUGGAACUUAAUCAAAUAUGAAUCCGAAACUGAAGAGGACGAUGCAAAGGAAGAAGCCAAUUUCAAAUCGCCCAGUCAAACGAAUGUCAAAGCUGAAAGGGCAAUAACAGAAUCACCUACACGAAAAACGGUACCCUCGCCGUAAAGCGAAC